rnacentral:misc_RNA from 1 species
AUUCCUCUAGACAGGGGACAGCAUGUCCAGCUCAAACCAGAAGUCAAAGAGCCGAGAUUUGGCUGGCGCGGUCAAUCACGUGAUAGCAUUGGAACUGUUUUAUGUGUUGAUGAUGAUGGGAUUCUGCGUGUUGGGUUUCCGGGAGCGUCUAGAGGAUGGAAAGCGGAAAGAGUUGAAGAAUUCAAGGUUGGUGAAUGGGUUCGUAUCCGCCCCACUCUCACAACAACUAAGCAUGGAUUAGGAUUGGUAACACCAGGGAGCAUUGGCAUAGUGCAUUGUAUUAGACCAGAUAGUAGUCUAUUGUUAGAGUUGAGUUAUCUCCCAAAUCCAUGGCAUUGUGAACCAGAGGAGGUUGAGCCUGUUGCCCCUUUCAGGAUUGGUGACUGUGUGUGUGUGAAGCGAUCUGUUGCAGAACC